rnacentral:ncRNA from 1 species
GGUCAAGUGACUAAGUGCAUGUGGUGGAUGCCUUGGCGAUCAGAGGCGAUGAAGGACGUGAUAGCCUGCGAUAAGCUUCGGGGAGCUGGCAAAUAAGCUUUGAUCCGGAGAUUUCCGAAUGGGGAAACCCACUGCUAAGGAGGUAUCGCAUGAUGAAUACAUAGUCAUGCGAGGCGAACCGGGUGAACUGAAACAUCUAAGUACCCCGAGGAAAAGAAAUCAACCGAGAUUCCCUAAGUAGUGGCGAGCGAACGGGGACCAGCCCUUAAGCUGAUUUGAUUUUAGUGGAACGCUCUGGAAAGUGCGGCCAUAGAGGGUGAUAGCCCUGUAUACGAAAGGGCCAUUCCAGUGAUGACGAGUAGGGCGGGACACGUGAAAUCCUGUCUGAAUAUGGGGGGACCAUCCUCCAAGGCUAAAUACUCCUGACCGACCGAUAGUGAACCAGUACCGUGAGGGAAAGGCGAAAAGAACCCCGGGAGGGGAGUGAAAUAGAACCUGAAACCUACCGUACAUCCGCCUUGGCCG